UACGUAGGGUGCGAGCGUUGUCCGGAAUUAUUGGGCGUAAAGGGCUCGUAGGCGGUUUGUCGCGUCGGGAGUGAAAUCCACUGGCUUAACUGGUGGCUUGCUUUCGAUACGGGCAGACUGGAGGUAUGCAGGGGAGAACGGAAUUCCUGGUGUAGCGGUGAAAUGCGUUGAUAUUGGAAGGAACGCCGGAGGCGAAAGCGACGCACUGGACCUCUUCUGACGCUGAGGCGCGAAAGCUAGGGGAGCAAACGGG
rnacentral:rRNA from 1 species